rnacentral:lncRNA from 1 species
GAAACUGCUUUAAGGGAUCAGAGUUGACUUAGAAAGCCAAUAAAAGCCCCUUUGGAAAGCUGGCCUCCUACCUUGUCUACCCAGUUCUUGUACAGGUUUCUGACCUGUGGUAAGUAAAGAAUGUCACUUUCUUACAGGCCCAGGAGCCCCAAAUUAUCUUGGGACCUUGGUGAGGAGUUCGCCCAAUUAAUACAGUGUGCCUUCUUAAAGGCUGGAGCCUGGAGCACAUGAGGAGAAUUCACAGAAAUGCCUGGAAAGGGAACUGCGGUGGAUCUUACAGAGACUUGAAACAUGUGGAGGAGUUUGGCUCUUAUUCCUAAAGGACAAAGUGCUGCCUCUACCUCCCCACCUGUCUAGUUUUAUUCAGUGAUGUCUAUCCUCAUGACUUGGGCCAUUUUCAUCAUCACGUCUAUUUGGUUACCUAGGUCUGCCGUUUUUGUUUUUUUUUUUCCCAAAUGCUUUCCACAUAAGAUGGCCU